rnacentral:rRNA from 1 species
GGCCUGGUUGGGUGGUCUUGCCGCAAGGUAAGCACUGCUCCGAUCGGGUCUUUCCUUCUGGGGAACCAGCGUGCUAUUAAUUUAGUGCGCUGGGGAUCCAGGACUUUUACUUUGAAAAAAUUAGAGUGUUUAAAGCAGGCUUUCGCUUGAAUACAUUAGCAUGGAAUAAUAGAAUAGGAC